CAGCAGCCGCGGUAAUACAGAGGGUGCGAGCGUUAAUCGGAUUUACUGGGCGUAAAGCGUGCGUAGGCGGCUUUUUAAGUCGGAUGUGAAAUCCCUGAGCUUAACUUAGGAAUUGCAUUCGAUACUGGGAAGCUAGAGUAUGGGAGAGGAUGGUAGAAUUCCAGGUGUAGCGGUGAAAUGCGUAGAGAUCUGGAGGAAUACCGAUGGCGAAGGCAGCCAUCUGGCCUAAUACUGACGCUGAGGUACGAAAGCGUGGGGAGCAAACAGGAUUAGAGACCCCAGUAGUCCCUGUCUCUUAUAA
rnacentral:rRNA from 1 species